CCACUCCAAGCCAGCAGGCAACCUGCUCCAGUCACCUUCCAUGCUGUGGAAGCUUUGUUCUUUCGCUGUUCACAAAAAAUCUUAUUGCUGCUCACUCUUUGGGUCUGUGCCACCUUUAAGAGCUGUAACACUCACCACAGAGGUCUGCAGCUUCAUUCUUGAAGUCAGUGAGACCAAGAAUCCAUCAGAAGGAACCAACUCUGGACACAUUAGGACAUGGGCCUGGAGCUGCUGGGGCCAUUUCUGCCACCUUGUAGGGACAGCCAGCUCGAGGAUGAAGUCAACAGAGAAGAACGGAAGCUGAGAAACAGAACUAAUCAUUCCACCUAGCACCUGGGUUCAGCCAGGACUAACACUGGUCAUGUGAUGAGAUGAGAGGACAGCUGUUCUCCCCUCACUCAAGGUAGCACUCUGAGGUGUCCAGGAGGCGAUCCACAAAUCAUCCCACUGAGUGUGCUUACAGCCGGUUUCUCCCACCUCAGCCCUGCUGCGAGGAAGGACUAAGAAAAACAGCCUGCAUGGGCCGGGCUUGGAUUUCAAGUUCUCAGAUAAAGAAGCAACAGCUAAGAAAACUUAACUGGCUUAUCCAACAUCACACUUG
rnacentral:lncRNA from 10 species